ACUAAAGCUGCAUAAUUGGCGGACCUGACAUAGAGACAGAUGAGCAUAUGAGCUCCAUAGCUGGUUACUACUAUACAAAUCAGCACAUUUUUACAGCAAAGACAUCAGUCAUUUUUACAGCAUAGUUCUGUAAUUUUUCAUUGAGAAGUUCUAGAUCAGGAAAAUUUGGGACUUCAUUUUUAAUUUCUUCCCAUUUAGAAGUCCGAAUCAUCAUAAAUUGAGAGUUAGUGUGUAUAAAUAUAUGCUCAUGUCUUCUGAAGAAUAGAAUGUAGAGAAUUAUUUCAAAUUUCCAACAAUUGUGAUGCUUUGGCAUUAUAUGAUGCUUUCUAACCCUAGGAGUGACACUAACUGUAUCUAGGGCAUGAUGCAUAAGAAAUUAGAUGUGCAUUUUAAAACAUUCCUUUGAUUUUGCAAAUAAAUAUCAUAGAAUAAUUUUCACACCAGCAAACCUUAGAAAUUUUGCAUUGAGCUGCUAAUUAAAUUCUCAUCAAAUAGUAAUAUAAGAACCAUAAAUUUACUGUUCACAACUCUAUUCCAGCCCUCGCCUGACCCACAGCCAUUGGAGCCUCAGUUACCUUGUUUUUCCUAUGCGGUUCCAAUCCAAAACCUUGUCCACGCAUUUCUCAAGCUUCUAGACAGAACAAUAUGGCAAGAAUUUCCUGCCUAAUAAGCUUUGAAAUUCUAGUAAGAAAAUUUCCAGAAGGUUAUCCAACAUCAACUGGAUUGGCAUGGGAUUGUUAAUUGGCUUUCUGAUCUAAUUAAUAGGUUAAGAAUUUGCUAUCAAAAUUUCAGGAAACUACAGCUCAGAUAAUUCUCCCCGGCUGCCAACCCAAAGAGAGGAGUCUAUAACCCAACUGAAAAUGACCAAAGGAGGCUGACAAGCAUCUGUUUCAUCUAUCACAUUAUGCACACAGAAACGUUAUACAAAAAAGCAAGCCAAAUGCAACAAGCAGCUGCAAAAUAUGUGCACGGCUAAAAAUGAGAGGUUGAAGAAAUCAACAAAUAUGAAUAGAAUAAACUCCCUCUGAUCCAACCAAAAGUGUCCAAACUCCCUUAUUUACCAAUCCCAAUUUGCCACUUAAUCCUUAAAAGCCUAAUAACAAUUGUUAGCAAUCAAACAAAAACCUUUACAAUUAAUAUCAAUUAUGGAUAAUAGAGCAUUAAGUAACUUGACCAUUGACUACUGUCACACGAGUGGCGAAGAAAUACUAUAUUUUUUUUUCCUUUGUUAUAGGAAGUCAAUCCUAUA
rnacentral:misc_RNA from 1 species